ACGUUUCAACGAAAAGUUUUUUUUAGUUAAGUUAGUUAGUUUUAAAUAUUUGUAAUUUUAUUGUUAUCUAGCUUUUUCAAACGUUCUCAUAUAAUUUAAGUGAUUUAAACUAGAGUUAUUAACUCUAGUUAAAAAAAAAAGUUUUUGAUUUUACAAUGAAUCAAUGCGAGGAUGAUAAUAGACGCAGAUAAAUAUCAAGAAUAUCUGCAAAUUAGUGCAGAAGGAGAGAACAUAAUAAGACAACUAAAAGUAUUAUCAGAAACCACCAAUGGACAAAUUGUAUAAAAGUCUUAGGUUUUAAUAAUUGAAAUAUUAACCUAAAAAUAAAUUUGAUAAUGAGGGAUGAAGUAUUUUAUGAAUAAUUCGUCGUAGCGCAGCCGUGCGAGUGACAUGCGCAUAAUCUAACACAAUCUUUUUAAGACAAUCUAAUCAUGUCGAAGUGUGACCAAUGUAAUAAAUCUUUGCCUGGAUGUGAAUGUGCCCGAUGUGAAAAAAUGGUACACCUAAAUACCAGAUGCAGUGGUCUUACCAACAAACAGAUAACCGCAUUAAAGGCGGCCCCAGGCCUGGACUGGACCUGUAUGGAAUGCCAACAAGAAUCCCCGAAGCGAAACUCCUCUUUGUAUCUGACAGAGGAUGCAAAGGAGGAUAUACCUAUGGACACUAAGGGGCUAAUACAGAAAAUUUCCAAGGAAGUAGAAAAAACUAUAAAGAAGGAAAUAAACGAAUUCAACCAAUCUCUGCAAUUUCACAGUACGAAGUUGGACAAAGUAUUAGGUUGUAUUGAUGCCUUUAAAAACACCAUAAAAGUUUUAGAAAGAAAAAACACGGAACUAUACACAAAAGCAACAAUCUGGAAUUGAGGGUAGGUGCAUUGGAGCAGCGUUUCCAUGAGAUGGAACAGGAGAAACUUGCUAUUUCUAUAGAAAUAGCAAACGUCCCCCCUGCGAGUGAAGAGAAUGUGAGAAAAUUAGUUGAAAAUGUAGCAUUAAAACUUAAACAGCCCUUCGACGGUAUCCGUAACACAAUGCGAUACCAAGCUGCAAAAACCAUUAAAACUAUGGUGGCCGAUGUUUGCCCCCUAUGAACCCAACAAUAACAAAAUAGUAUUCAUCAGGGAAGCAAUGACUAAAUACAACAAAAGCAUUUUAUGGGAAGCCAAACAAGAAUUAAAGAAUAAACAAAGAUUUAAAUACGUAUGGUUUAAAAACGUUAUGGUGAGUGCAAGAAAGGAUGAAAACACUAAAAUACAAAACCUAAGAUCAGUGUUGGAUAUACAAGUGUUAAAAAAAAGACAGAAUGUCAAUUAACUGACCAAAUUAAAUGCAUAUAAAUUAUUAUUAUUAUUAAGAUGGAUAGUUUAACUAGUGAUAUUUGUGAAUUAGAAGACUGUAUAAACAUAAAUGAUUCUGUGAGUAAAAUUCCCAGUAGACAUUUAAAUCUAUUGUGGUGUACACAUAAACAUAAGGUCAAUCAUAAAAUACUUUGCCAAUCUCGAGCAAUGUAUAUAUGCGGCUGGCGCUGUUAACGUUAUUGUGCUUACAGAGGUUAACAUUUCUGAUAGAAUCAGUUGUCUGUAUAAUUUAGAUGGAUACCAUAUGUUUUCGGCACUCAGAAAUGGUAGGAAAGGUGGAAGUAUCUUAGUAUAUGUAAAAAAGAAACAAAUUUAAUAUGCAAAUUGUAAAAAGCCAACAUUUCGAUAAUAUUAUACUUUUUACCAUCACAACUCUAUCUCGAUAUCUUGUAUCUAUUGGGAGACGUUAAUAUAAAUCUAAAGCUAGACAUUCCUAUAAAACAUAAAUAUUGCAACACAUUACACAGUUUAGGCCUUAUGUGUGGGAUGACAACUUACACUAGGGCGGAACUAU